UUGGAUUUCUUUCAUGUGGUCUCUCAUCGUCUGGCAGCUUACCCUGGGCUUGUUCGCAUGAUGGUGAGGAUUCGAGACAUCAAGGGCAAUGAACAAGAUGACAUAGCCACAGGACUGACCCCAGAUCACUUCCAUCAUGUUCUAGUGGCUAAAGAAAUCCAAUUUUGUCAUGUUACUGGAAAUCCCGAGUGUGAUUAAGCUAACAUUUUGAAAUCUGAUUGGAGUAGAAGUUUUAACUCUCUUAAGAGAGAUACAGUUUCAGAUAUUUCAGGGCAAAGACUACUCUUAUUCAUUUUUAUUACUAAUAGCAUGGCUGAAAUAAAUUUGGUCCUCAUUAAAUACUCAAGUAAUU